rnacentral:rRNA from 1 species
UAGUGCCUACUGUACAAGCCUAUGAUCUCGUCUGAUCUCGGAAGCUACGUAGGGUCGGGCCUGGUUUGUACUUAUAUGGGAGACCACCUGGGAAUACCCAGUGCUGUAU